rnacentral:lncRNA from 1 species
CUUCCCACCAGGUGGUGGAGCUGGUGGCCUAUGCUGCUGCUCAUGUCUAGAAACAUCACCAUGAUUUGAAUUUCCAAGUUCUCUCCUUUCUCUAGACAUUCCUUUAUCUCUUUCACCUCCACUUUCCUUAGGAGGAGGUGGUGGUGGUGGGGAACUUGGUGGUGGUGGUGGUGGUGGCGGCAUUGAAGAGCUGGGUGGAGGAGAUGAAGGAGGUGGUGGAGGAGGUGGCUGCAUUGGUUGUUGCAAUGGUUGAUGACCAUGCAGAGGAGGAUACUGUGAUGAAGGGUAGUAUCCUCCUGAUGCUGGUGGAGGUGGAGGUGGAGGUGGAUAUGAUGAGUCUGGUGGUGGUGGUGGAGGUGGUUGUUGAUAUGGAUAUUGUUGGUGAGGUGGCGGUGGUGGUGGUGGAGGAUAAUGUUGUGAGAAUUUUUGCUGGUUAGGAAUUUGCAUUUGAUUGUAUUGAUUAGGUCUUUGCUGCUGCUGCUGCUGUUGUGGUGGUGGUGGUGGUGGUGGUGGUGGUAGUGUGGAUUGUGAAGGAAACUGCCUAUAAGAGGCCAUUGUAGACCGGAACGCAAAAACCUCAAAAUUAAAAAUCUAAUUUUUAAUUCCUAUAUAGACAGAUAACUCAAUUGCUCAAUUCCGGGUUUUCUUUAUUGAGCUUUUUUCUUGCAAAACUAAUCAAAGAAACCCAAUGACAACAAAUAGAAGUUUUUUCUAUACCCAAUUCUUGAUUUUGCAAAAUAACAGAGCUGGAACCUAGCUAAACAAAAGAAAACAGAAAGAGCUGAAUUCACACUACCCUUUUGCAGCCAUUAGCUAGCUUCAGCAGUAGUAGCAGAGACUAGAGAAAAUUCACACUCUAAAUCUUUAGCAAGAAGCUAGAGAAACCCUAAUUGAACCAUAAAAAUUGAAGCUUUUGAAUAGAUUUAAGAUUACAAAGAAAGAUUCGGGUGAUAGGUUAUCUAAUGAGAUUUGCAUGUAUUUAUACAUGUAUAUAUACAUAGAGAAAGAGAGACUGAGCACACAAAUCUGCGUGCUUUAGAUUCUUUUACAGAUUUCAAUUUCUGAUUGAAUAUAAUGCAAUUCUGGAUUUUUAAUAAGUUUUAUGAAAUAUAUCGGGAAAUCUCGGCUAACUCAUUGUUGUAAUUUCCUUUUUCUUUUCUUUUUCCUUUUUUGGGUUUUUACUUAGCAUGCAAAUGCUAGUCAUCAAAAUCUACUAGAUUUUGUUUCCUUUUUUCCUUUUAAUUUAGUUUUAUUUCCUAAAAUUUCCUUUUGAAUUAAAUGCAUCACCAGUGCUGUUAUUUUAUUUUAAUUAAUAAUACAGGAAAACAUUUAUAAAUAAAACUUAACUAAAUUUUUAAUAAUUUAUAAUAGUUUAUUAUAUUUCUUAGAAUAAUAAUUUAAAAACAUUAGUAUUCUAAAAUUUUAUUAAAUAUAAUAUAAUAUAAAAAUUAUUAUAAUAUAAAUACUACAUUAGUUAAUAUAAUAUUAAGAAUCUAAUUUAAAAUAUUAUAUAAAAAUUUAAAUAAAUUAUUAAUUUAUUAAUGUAUGUAGUAUUUAAAAUAUAAUUAAUUUUUAAACUUAUAAUAUUUAAUUAAAACUCACUUAUUCAAUAGUCAAUUAAUACACAUAAGUUAUAUAAGUUGAAUACUAUUGUUAUAAUUAAAUAUAUAUGUAAAAAGAAUCUAUAAAAUAAUAUAAAAUAUUAAGAAAGAUUUAUAUCUCAAUAAAUAAAUAAUCAAGUUCUGAGAAUUUUAUUUAUUUUUUGAUAGGGAUACUUUUUAGUUAUUUGGCAAUUAUGAUAAAAUAGUACCUAAAUAACAUUAUGAUAAAAGAAAUGGUACCCAUUCAACAAUUUUCUAAAGGAGUAUCCAAAUAACUAUUUAACCCACAAUAAGUAAUGUUACAAAGUAUUGGCAAGUAAAUCUGUUGACUAAUGGUAGUCAUUUUUGAAAUUUUGUAACAGCCAGUCAUGAUAAGGAUAGCACACAACAUGAUAAAACCAGUGGCUAAAAGGCUCAAAGGAAAAUCCCAUGAAUUAAAUGAAAUGGAUGCUAAAGAUGGUAUUUAAGAUCCAAAUCAUUAAAUGUUUACGACAAAGUUGAUAAGGAUAUCAGCUGUGAACAGAAAUCCAAAUCAUUAAACGUAACUAAGUCAAACUACUUUUCUUUUUGAAAAGAGUUAGUUGAGAUUCUCUAUUUACCUCUUAUCAUUUUUAUUUUUGUUUUUAUAAUAGUAUUUAUGUAUAUAUUUUAAUUUAAAUAAAAUUUUAAAUUUAAUUUUUUUCUAAUAAAUAUAAAGAUAUAUAAUAAAUAUUUUCUACAUUUAUAUUUUUCAGACUAAAUUAAUUUUAUUGUUAUGAGAAAGUUAUAAUUUUAUAUUUGUACAGUCAUAAAGAUUUGAUUUAACUUAUUUAUUUCAAUUACAAGUAGCAUAAAAAUAAAGCAUGCGCUAUUUUAAUCACUAGUUAGUCCAAUAUGUGAAAACCGAAUAUAUACAUAAAUAAAUAAUAUAAUUUAAAAAUUACAUUUAUAAAAGAGAUGGAUAAUUUUGAAAACAUUUCAAUUUAAAAGAAGAAAAAGUUGUUCAUGCACGGAUAAAUUUAAAGAUAUAAUAACUCCAAAGAUUAAAUCAUUGAACAAAUUACAUUAUAUGAAUAUUUUAUUUUUCUUUAAACCUUUCAUAUAGCAUAAUUAAUAUAUUAUAUAGAGAAAACUUUUUAAGAUAAAAUUUUAAAAAUUAUAACUUAUUACGGAUUCAAGUUAGAAUUAAUACUUUUAUAAUUACAUAAAAUUUAUUUUUAUAUAAAAUAAUUAUAAAAAAGUUUUUAAGUGUAACUAUCUCUAUUAUAGUUUAGAUGAAUUCGAGAAAGAGACAUCCUUAAAUGGUAAAAGCAACAGGAGAAGAAAAAGGACCAAAAGUGAAAACAAAAACAUAUGUGGGCGGGCUGAAAACUCAUUGUUUUGAAGUCCGAUCUGUUUUUGGUACGGACUUCUAAAUCCAUGUAAAUUCGGCAUUUGUUAAUAGUUUCAGGUCCGGCCCCUUUAUUUAAACAGCAAUUAUGUGUAAAGGAGUGGAAUCAGAGAGGAGAAGUUUGGGAAAAUGCUUUGUCCGAAUUAGUUUAGGCCCAAUAUUACGCCGGAAUUUUAUUUUAUUUUCCACACAAGUGGGGAGGUGAGCAAAAUACUAAAAAAAAAAACCUGAAAACCAAACCAAAACAAGCCGGUUUUAUUUAGCUCGGUUUGGUUAAUUUCUUUUGUAAAUUCAAUUUAUUCGGUUUAAAUUUCUUUAAAUUUAAAAUUAUAUCGGUUCGUUUUGACUAAUAUCAAAAAAUUCAGUUUGACUGAAAUAAUCGAUUGUUUUAAUUAUUUACUAAAUUUAUUAUUAUUUUUUUAUUUAAUUCUCAAAGUAAUUAUAGGUUUAGAUUAAUUAUUAUAAUUUACCCUUUUAUUUGUUCGGCUCAUUUUUUAAAAUUGAUUCGAUUUAUUUAGCAAAGUUGGUUCAAUUUGAUCUUGAAUCGAACUGACCGAAUGCUCACCCCUACAAGUAACAUCAGUGGUUUCAAUUCUCAGCAACCAUAGAGAAAACUAUCUCUCGAAAAAGGUUUAAAGAUGAGUUUAAGAUAUCAAGGAACACAAUUAAUAAACGAUAAUGAGAGAUGUAAAACUAAAUUCUAACAGUAUAAUAAAUAGAUUAUCAGAAUAUAUAUGUAAUACUAAUGAAAGUACAAAAGAACAACAAUAAUAGAAGAUUUCAUCAUAUAACUAAUGUGUGUUAUAAAUAUGAGAAUAUAAAUAAACUUUGUGUAUUGUAAAUAUGAGAAUAGAAAGAAACUUACUUGAAGAAACGAGAAUCAUUUGGAUCAGCCUCCAUUCUUGUAAGAUAGGUGAAAGGGAAAGGUUAGAGCUUUCUCUAGAAUGAGAAUUUAGGUUUUUCUCUUACUUACAAAAUGAAAGUAGAGUGGGCUAUUUAAGAACGAAGUAUUUUGUUUGUAUUAUCUUUUGUAUUAAAAUUUAUGUAAAUCAAAAUCCAAGGGUUGGUUAAAAGCUUUUUUAUGUCAGUAAAAGUUUUUCUCAAUAGUAUUUCAAUGGUUAAGUAGUUGAAAUUCAUUAGGUUUUUGAGGUUCUUCAAAUAACUUAAGGAUCUAUUUGAAUAUUAUCAAUAACUGUGUGCGCGUGUAAUUAAUUUAUUAAUAAAAAUGACAUAUUACUCUCAGAUUCUCUCAUAAUGAUACAACACUUACAAUGGUAAAAAAUAACUCUGAGACAGAACAAUACAGAUUUUAUCACUGUCAUCUGUCUAAUUAUGAAUUAGGGUGUCUGACGAGUGGAUACAGUUUCCUUUUCUACUUUUUACAAGUCUAAUUUUAAAAUUUUCUAACCAUUUAAUGCCUUAAUUGUUUUCUAAUAGAUUCACACAUUUGACGUCACGUGAUUUUAAAAGACUAAAAGAAAAAGAUAAAUAUUGCAUGAAAUUCACAUGUCACUAAUUAUAUGCACAUGUCAGUCAAUAAGAAAUUUAUAAAACUCUCUUAUACCGUAACGACAGAGCAAGAUAUAUAUUGUAAAUUGCUAUAUGCAGCUUUUCUUUAUGAAUUCUAGUUUCAUGCAUUUAAAAUUAUGUGAUCAUCAAUUAUUUUAGUUGCUUUUCUAAUGGAGAUGUAUGAAUGUUACCAGUUGAGUAUGAAAUAUCCAAAAGUUUUUCUUUAUAUACUGCAGGGGAUUUGUAUGGCAAUAAUGAUAUGCACACACUAUUGACAUAGUUAAUUUUUCAUUAAAGAUGAAGGAUUGAGAAGAUAGAUUAAUAUCAUAAUGAUAGAUGGCUUGAAAUAAUUAACAAUAGGAACGACAAUAAGGUGAGGCAAGUAACUCAUUAGGAUUUUAGGUAAGUUUGAGAUGCAGUUUCAGUCAUUCUCUUUGUUCCUCAUAAAAUGAUGAAUGGUGUAAGCCAUCAAUGGGAUGAUUGUGCCACUAUGCAAGAGUCGCAAACCAACAUUCUCCACAAAACCUCACUUUUCUCUUCAUUUCCUAAGGUUUUUACCCAUUAAUAUGCUCAUAAAGGAGUGGAAACAAGUGGAGAAGUUUGGCAAAAUGCUCUGUCUCGAAUUAGUUUAGGCCCAAUAUUACUCUGGAAUGGGUUUAUAUUUUUAUAUUUUUUUUGGAAAUUUUUUAAAAAUAUUUUAAAAUUAAUAAAAAAUAUUAUUUUUAUUAUGUAAAUUUUUUUUUUUCAAAAAUAUUGCGUGGUUGUUUUUUUGGUUUUUCGUUGGUUGUUUUAUCAAAAAACAUAAAAAAAAUAAAAUUAAAAAAACAACCAGUACCUUAUAUCUAAAAAAAAAUAAAUUAUAUUCUUAAUAUUUUCACACAGUAACAAUAUAUUUUCUCCCUUUCUUGGGUUUACUUACACAAGUAACAAAAACAUCAUUAGUUUCAAUUCUGAGCAACUCUGGACAAAAUCUUUGUUUGUUUAUUUAUUUAUUUAUUUUGGUGUUAUUGGCAAUCGGUUCCGGCCACUAGUAUAAUCAACAACCAAUGCCGGUAACUACGGCAUACUGAAUUCUUUUAUAAUUUUAUUAUUUUUAGUCUAUUUUGUUUAUAUCUUAUUAUAAACUAUAAAUAUAAAUUCUUGAUAAAUUUGAAUAUUUUGAUAUUUUUGUUACAAAAAAUAUAAAAGAUAUAUUUAUCAUAAUAUUUUGUACAUAACCAAAUAGCAGAAAUUUUUUGAUUUAAAAAAAUAAUUUUAAAAGCAAAUGGAGACUUAAUAGUAUAUUGAAGAUAGAAAAAGUAUCCAUGCGUAUGACUUACUUUUCUCUAUUUUAGUUCACAAUAGUGAUAUAUAUAAGAUAAGCCCAAUUUGAUUAUAUUUUUCUAGUAAAAUCAAUUUAGCAAAAUUGCAAUAUUGUAUCCUAUGAAAAUUAUGAGCGUUUAUCUAAAGAUUGCAUUGAGAAAGAAAGAAAAAAAGAAGAAGAAGAAAAUGAUGUCUUAAUUAGUCACCUUUUCAUCUUUUAAAUGCAUAGAUAAUUUUCUUUCCAUAAACAUAUUUGUGUAAUAGAUGAGGAACAUAAUUAAUCUACGAUAAUGAGAUGUAAAUUUAAAUUCUAAUAAUAUAACAAAUAGAUUAUGAAUAUAUAUAUAUGCUAUAUACUAAUGAAAGUUCAAAAAUGAUAACAAUAAUAGAAGAUUUCAUCAUAUGAUUAAUGUGUGUAGUAAAUGUCAGAAUGGAAAGCUUAAAAAUAUAUUAGAAUCAUUAGGUUCAGCCUCCGUUCUUUCAAGAUGGUGAAGGGGAAAGCUUAGAGCUUUCUAUUGGAUCAGAAUUUUGGUCUUUUUCCUACUUAUAAAUAUGGAAGUAACUAUUUAUAAAUGAAGUGUUUUACUUUUAUUAUCUUUUGUAUGGUUAUCAUUUUUUGAUUUUACCAAUAUAUUUUGCAAUUAUAAAAAAUUUUGUAUUUCUCAUAAAUCAGUCAAUUUUUUCUUAAAUUAUUAAAUUUCACACAAGUAAUCAUUUUUUUCAUAAUAUAAUUUAUUUUUUUGCAAUUAAUAAUACUUACAAAAAGUUAGUAUAAUUUACGAAAUAUACGGAAAUGAUUGUCAUUUUUUAUAAAUUAUUAAUUAUUUUUAUAAUUAUAAAAUUAUAAAAGGUUUAACAUGUUGCUAAUUAUUGUUACUUAUAAAAUUUGAAGAAUAAAAUUUAAAGUAAUUAAAAAUUAAUAGUAUUUUAUUUUAAAUAAAAACACCCUAAAAAGCAUUAUAUAUAUAUGAGAAUAUCAUAAAAUAUCUUAAGUAUAGUGUUUUAUACAUAACAAAAUAGUAUUAUUAAGUUUUUUUUUUUAAAAAAAAAAGAAAAGAAAAGCAAAUGGAGCCUUGAAAAUAUAUCGAAACAAGAUAGAAGAAAAUGCAUGCGUAGGGCCUACUUUUCUCCAUUUUAGUUCUCAACAGAGAUAUAAUAUAAGUCGAUGCUAGCUCUAUUUAAUGAGAUUUUCCUAGUAAAUCAAUUUAGAAAAAUUUCAAUGAUAUAUUAUGAAAAGUAUGAGCAUUUUAUCUAAAGAUUGCAUUAAAAAAGAAAGAAAGAAAGAGAGAGAAAGUGAUAUGUUAGUCAUGUCUCAUCUUUGAAACACAAUAGAAGAGCAACAUAAUUAAUGAAAGAUAAUGAGAGAUGUAAAUUUUAUCAUAUAAGUAAAAUGUGAUGUAAAUAUGAAGUUACUUAAAGAAAUGAAAAUUAUUUGGAUCAGCCUCCAUUAUCUUAAUAUGGUAAAGGGGGAAAAUUUAGAGCUUUCUCUUGAAUUAAAAUUUAAAUUUUUUUCUCACCUAUGAAAUGGAAGUAGAGUGAUUAUUUGAGAAUGAAUUGUUUUAUUUGUAUUAAGAGUUGUAUAAAAUCAAAAUCCAAGGUUUGGUUUUG